CCACUGGAAGCAAUUGCUGCCAGAAGGUUGGAAGGAGCCACAACUCCGGGUCUGUCCCUGGGAGGUAACAGAACCAGGGAGAAGUUCCCAGGCAUGGUCUGACCGUGCUGGAACAAGAUCAAGACAGGGAAGUUGGAUUCCUCUGAGUGCAGGAUGCACAAUUGUUUCAGAAAGAACCUGGUCUAAAGUUAAAGCUACCAUAGACCAGUUCACUUGAAAUAUCAAAGUCCCUAAAAGAUGGCAGAAAUAUGAAGAGUGUAAGCAGAUCGAUUUCUGAAGGUCUAAUGAUAAGACUUUGCAAGAUGGGAAAAGCUGAGAAUGGACCCGAGGGCGAGCACAAAAGGAAAUGCAAUAUGGGGCUUCCAAAAGCAAUUGGUCAGGAGAGAAUUAUUACAAACCUGGGCCCUUCAUGGGAGACAGAAAUGACUGAAAUGACCUAGAGAUGACAGUGCCUG